rnacentral:rRNA from 1 species
CACGUAGGCGGACUGGAAAGUUAGAGGUGAAAUCCCAGGGCUCAACCUUGGAACUGCCUUCAAAACUAUCAGUCUGGAGUUCGAGAGAGGUGAGUGGAAUUCCGAGUGUAGAGGUGAAAUUCGUAGAUAUUCGGAGGAACACCAGUGGCGAAGGCGGCUCACUGGCUCGAUACUGACGCUGAGGUGCGAAAGUGUGGGGAGCAAACA